rnacentral:snoRNA from 1 species
GUGUCCAUCAUGAUUAGUCUAUUCGCAUAGUUCACUCCUAAUCUUAUUGAGGAACAUAUAUUUGUCUUUCGCUCCUAUAUGAAUGGAUGC